rnacentral:misc_RNA from 1 species
CCAAUUCACGGCUGCCGGAAUCUUACCUGCCACCGCUUUCAAUUCCAAUUAUCAUCAAGCUAGCUCUCACAGAAUUUCUUUUUCUUGCUUGCUUCUUUGGCCUUAAAAUAAUUAAAAACUUACUCUUUCUCACCCGGCUAGAUAAUUAAAAACUUACUCUUUCUCACCCGGCUAGAUAAUUAAAAACUUACUCUUUCUCACCCGGCUAG